rnacentral:tRNA from 1 species
GCGGAUGUAGCUCAGUUGGCUAGAGCACCUGGUUGUGGCCCAGGGGGUCGUGAGUUCAAGCCUCAUCAUUCGCCCCA